rnacentral:lncRNA from 1 species
AAUGAGAAAACUUUGGAGAAGAUCUGUACCAGUAAAAUCUUAUGGGUCACAAGACCAUGUUGCACUCGUUUCCACUCGGUAAGGAUUCCCUUGUGCCAUCAAUACCAACAUCCUUUUUCAUUGUAGAUGUAUUUAUCUUGGAUGAUUUUCUUUAUGAUAAAUUACUAGUGAUAUGGAUACAUUUAAAGUUAUUACUCCAACUAAAUGGCUUCACACACAUCUCACAAGGAGCUUCACUAGAAUAACAAAUUUGAU